rnacentral:rRNA from 1 species
AAUGAACGCUGGCGGCGCGCCUAAUACAUGCAAGUCGAGCGAGAAGACGUAGCAAUACGUUUGUAAAGCGGCGAACGGGUGAGGAAUACAUGGGUAACCUACCCUCGAGUGGGGAAUAACUAGCCGAAAGGUUAGCUAAUACCGCGUACGCUUCUUGGACUUCGGUUCAGGGAGGAAAGCGAUACCGUGGGUAUCGCGCUCUUGGAUGGGCUCAUGUCCUAUCAGCUUGUUGGUGAGGUAACGGCUCACCAAGGCUUCGACGGGUAGCUGGUCUGAGAGGACGAUCAGCCACACUGGCACUGCGACACGGGCCAGACUCCUACGGGAGGCAGCAGUAAGGAAUAUUGCGCAAUGGGCGAAAGCCUGACGCAGCGACGCCGCGUGGGGGAUGAAGGUCUUCGGAUUGUAAACCUCUUUCAGCUCCGACGAAGCGAGAGUGACGGUAGGAGCAGAAGAAGCACCGGCCAACUACGUCGCCA